rnacentral:lncRNA from 1 species
UCACACAACUUUAAAUAUCUCAUUAUCGGAAAUUCCUUUGCUUACACGGUUUCUUUUAUAAGAAACUAGACUCAUUAAGCUUUAAUUUCAUGUCUCAUUCAGCCUCUAAUUCAAGUCCAUAAAUUUAUGGUGAUUUUCUAAAGUCACGUUACUGCUGCUGUCCGAAGCAGACUAUUUCAAAUUACCCUUAAAUUCCCAAGCUCAAACACUUAAGAACUUACCAUUUGAGCUUAGAACAUAUCAUGGCCACAUCAUAUCUUACUAAAUCAACUCAUCAUGUCCUAUUAUAAUUGAAUUUACUCAAUGUUUAAACACUUAAAACUUACCUCGGAAGUUGCCGAACGAUUACGACGGCUCUUCGAUCACUUUUUUCCUUUCCCUUAUCCAACUUUGAUCCUCUAGGCUCUUGAGCUAAA